UACAGAGGUCCCAAGCGUUGUUCGGAUUCACUGGGCGUAAAGGGUGCGUAGGCGGUCGGGUAAGUCUGAUGUGAAAUCUCACAGCUUAACUGUGAAACUGCAUUGGAUACUAUUCGGCUGAGAGUGGAGGGGGGACUGGAAUUCUUGGUGUAGCAGUGAAAUGCGUAGAUAUCAAGAGGAACACCAGUGGCGAAGGCGAGUCCCUGGACAACUUCUGACGCUGAGGCACGAAAGCUAGGGGAGCAAACAGG
rnacentral:rRNA from 1 species